rnacentral:lncRNA from 1 species
AUGCCUAGUAGUGCCAUUGCUGGGUCGCAGGGUAGUUCUAUUUCUAAUUUUUUGAGGAACCUCCAUCCUGUUUUCCAGAGUGGCCGCACCAGCUUGCAUUCCCACCAACAAUGCAAAAGAGAUCCUCUCUCUCCGCAUCCUCGCCAACAUCUGUUGUUAAGAUCGGCCGUUCUGACCGGGGUGGGGUGGUAUCUCACAGGACAGGGUUUCUUAGCUGCGUCUUCCAGGAUGCUUAAGAAUCAACUGCAUGGAAGUGAUGACAAGGAUAUGCCCGUGCAAACCAGGACGCCACCAGGAGUGGAAGUGGGCAUUGCCAAUGAUGACCGCGGACGAACGACCCAAAGCAGCCCUGCCCCGGGGAAAAUGGGACGCAGGGACACAGUUUCCGCGGCCUGGCAGCUGGGAUGCCCUCAAUUCUUGUUCCAAAUUCCAGCCGAUCCUCAGAAUGUCCUGGGGACGUUGAAGACCAAAGCAGAUGAAGAAGAAACCUAUUUGCAGGAAUUAAAAGCGACACCUUGAGUUCUUUUUCUCUUCCUUCCGGAGCAAGACAUGUUCAUUGUCAAAGGAGAACACACCACGCACUAAGGAAAAGACAAAACUCUCCCAUUCAUAAUCCCUACCUAGGCACGGCCGCUUUUAAGGGCUCGUAACGUAAAUUUUUGCGCAGAAUGGGAGGAUACGAUAUACGUUGUUUUUGAGUCUUUUGGUUUUCACGGCACAUCAAUAUUGUCCUACUGCUGGGGCGCCUGGGUGGCUCCGCCAGUUAAGCGUCCAACUCUUGGCUGCGGCUCAGGUCACGAUCUCACCGCUCACGAGUUUGAGCCCCACAUCGGGCUCCACGCUGACAGCUCAGAGUCUGCUUGGGAUUCUCUCUCUCCCCCUCUCUCUGCCCCUCCCCUGCUCAUGCUCUCUAUUUCUCUCUCUCUUCAAAUAACUUAAAAAAAAAAUAUUGUGCUACUGCUGUCCCGUUCUCUGUUCUAUGGAUGGAUGGUGAUUGAUGUAACCAGUCUCCCAUUAUGAACUAUGUUGUCACGAACAUCUGACAACUGAGAAUGAAUUGCUUCCUUACAACAAGUGCCCAGAAGUGGGCUUGGAGGACAGAUUACUUCCUGUGUCUCCGUUUCCACCUCUAUGACACGGGGAUAAUAGGAGUGCCCGUGUCCUAGGAUUGCGGGGCAGUUAAAUGUGGGGCAGAUGAUACAGACGGGUCUGGCAUAUAGUAAAUGUUCCAAACACGUUACUAGUAAGCAGCACCUUUUUGAAAACAUGUUUUUUUUUUAACGGAAGUUCCCAGCGUGUAUCAUACACACGCGCCCGUCUAUCCAGUGGCAGAAACUGAAUCUCCACCAGCCCACGUCGGUAGGAACGCAGGGUCCCUGUGGUUGUCUCUAAAGAUGACCACCGCCAAUUCCACACACAGGCUGUUCCUUGCAUCUGCCUCCCUCCCACCUGCUUUGGCCAACAGAAGAGGCAGGGCUCUUGUGUUCCUGUUCCGGGACCAGCCUGAAAGAGGACUGGC